CCUUGCUGUCCCUGAGGUGAGGCGCCGCCAUCUUGGCUGCUGGGCCCUGCUGGGGCCCAGCCUUAGCCUCCCUGUUGAACAUUUCUUUCACAUUUUCACAUUUCGAGCUUUUCUAAUGCUCUCGUUCCCAGUCCUUUCCAGCACAGGAUUUAUGAGAUCAUGGGCUGAGCUGAAGUUUUAAAUUCCAUAGUGAAAAUGUUAAUGCAUGGAAUGGAGAGAAUAUUUGGCAGACUGGCUUUUUAAGGCCAAAGGAGGUGGCUGUGUUUCACAGAGAAGACUUCACUGAAAACCUUGGACCUAGUUGGUAACCUCAAAAUAGAAGAGAUGAGUAAAAGGAGGGAGAAGAGAAGAAAAGGAACAAGUGUACCCAAGAGGCACCUUAAGGACCUUAAGGACUGUAGAAGACCACCUGAGUUGCUGCAGAAGAUGUCAUUUACGUCAGCUUAUUCUGACUGGGUCUUCAGAGAUUCUCCUUCUGAGAUGUUCCUGUAAACAGUUACUUUCAUACUUGGGUUUUCAAACAAAGGGCCAAAUGUACUUCAUUGAACAUCUAUCUUCUUUAUUCUUUCUUCGCUUAAUGGAAUGCUAUCCCUGUUUUACUGUGUCCAGCUGGCACAUCCUCAGCAUGCUGAUUUCAUUUAAGAAAUCACUACCCAUUGUAGAAGCCAGAUGUAGCUGA
rnacentral:lncRNA from 1 species